rnacentral:sRNA from 1 species
UGAAACAACAGGGCCUGGGAUUAUCGA